GCCCGGCUAGCUCAAUCGGUAGAGCGUCAGACUCUUAUCAUCAUCAAUGUAUGAAUGCAGAGAUUCAUCUGAAGGUUGCGGGUUCGACCCCGCGUUGGGCU